rnacentral:lncRNA from 1 species
ACCAUUUCAGAAGGCAGUGUGCUCGCUGAUGAAAAGGCCAUGGUCAUUCUCUUAGGAAAUCUGCUGGGUCUGGCUCUGACAGUCCUCAGCUGCUCCAUAAAUCUUCCAUCAGUUCCAUCCAGCCAAAAACAUGUCAUCACCGUUUUCUCCUAGCAACAAGGAAUAAAAGGGCCAUCUCCAACAAGACUGUCAGAAAAAUGAGGACCAGAGCCCAAGAUGAUUGGAACAUCCUUUGUGACCCGAGAACCCUGCUACUGUUCCCAGAGCUCUGCCCCUUGACCCUACUGAGGCUCCAACAGACUGGCACCAGAUAUUGCGCUUCAGUGAUGCGCAAGUGAUGACUCCAUCCUCCAUCUGCAGGGCCCAGCAACUUCAACAGAGAGUAUUUGGAAACAAAGUGCAUCAGUGAGGAGUGCUUGCAGUCUUUCCAGCCUUUCCUCCUGACACUUCCUCAACCCAG